AUUGAACGCUGGCGGCAUGCCUUACACAUGCAAGUCGAACGGCAGCAUGGAGAGCUUGCUCUCUGAUGGCGAGUGGCGAACGGGUGAGUAAUGCAUCGGAACGUACCGUGUAAUGGGGGAUAACGUAGCGAAAGUUACGCUAAUACCGCAUACGACCUGAGGGUGAAAGCAGGGGAUCGCAAGACCUUGCGUUAUACGAGCGGCCGAUGUCAGAUUAGCUAGUUGGUGAGGUAAAGGCUCACCAAGGCGACGAUCUGUAGCGGGUCUGAGAGGAUGAUCCGCCACACGGGGACUGAGCCACGGCCCAGACUCCUACGGGAGGCAGCAGUGGGGAAUUUUGGACAAUGGGGGCAACCCUGAUCCAGCCAUGCCGCGUGAGUGAAGAAGGCCUUCGGGUUGUAAAGCUCUUUCGGCCGGGAAGAAAUCGCACAGGCUAAUACUCUGUGUGGAUGACGGUACCGGCAUAAGAAGCACCGGCUAACUACGUGCCAGCAGCCGCCGUAA
rnacentral:rRNA from 1 species